UGCACUCACUAUUAUAAAUCACUCUGGGUAAGAGUGUCUGCUAAAUGACUGAAA
rfam:Salmo salar isolate Sally breed double haploid chromosome ssa29, whole genome shotgun sequence.